UAGUGGCGAACGGGUGAGUAACACGUGGGCAAUCUGCCCUUCACUCUGGGACAAGCCCUGGAAACGGGGUCUAAUACCGGAUAUCACUCCUGCAGGCAUCUGCGGGGGUCGAAAGCUCCGGCGGUGAAGGAUGAGCCCGCGGCCUAUCAGCUUGUUGGUGAGGUAAUGGCUCACCAAGGCGACGACGGGUAGCCGGCCUGAGAGGGCGACCGGCCACACUGGGACUGAGACACGGCCCAGACUCCUACGGGAGGCAGCAGUGGGGAAUAUUGCACAAUGGGCGAAAGCCUGAUGCAGCGACGCCGCGUGAGGGAUGACGGCCUUCGGGUUGUAAACCUCUUUCAGCAGGGAAGAAGCGAAAGUGACGGUACCUGCAGAAGAAGCGCCGGCUAACUACGUGCCAGCAGCCGCGGUAAUACGUAGGGCGCAAGCGUUGUCCGGAAUUAUUGGGCGUAAAGAGCUCGUAGGCGGCUUGUCACGUCGGGUGUGAAAGCCCGGGGCUUAACCCCGGGUCUGCAUUCGAUACGGGCUAGCUAGAGUGUGGUAGGGGAGAUCGC
rnacentral:rRNA from 1 species